rnacentral:rRNA from 1 species
CCCUUAGAUGUUCUGGGCCGCACGCGCGCUACAAUGAUGAAUUCAACGAGUUUAUAACCUUGGUUGAAAAGCCUGGGUAAUCUUUUGAACUUUCGUCGUGAUGGGGCUAGACCCUUGCAAUUAUUGGUCUCCAACGAGGAAUUCCUAGUAAACGCAAGUCAUCAGCUUGCAUUGAUUACGUCCCUGCCCUUUGUACACACCGCCCGUCGCACCUACCGAUUGAAUGGUCCGGUGAAAUCUUCGGAUUGAGACUUUGUUUUCUUCACGGAAAACGCUGUUUUAAAAAGUUGAUUAAACCUUACCAUUUAGAGGAAGGUGGAGUCGUAACA